UGUUACAGUUCGCAUUGAUUGUAUGAUUCAAGCUUCCCCCUCAACACAAAAACUCAGUAAUAACAAUAGCACUUCUAUUCUUCCUGAUUGUUUGUCACUUUCAACCACGGUACCAUCAAAACAUUUAGAGGUUAUGCAUUCAGAC